rnacentral:rRNA from 1 species
UCCUACGGGGGGCAGCAGUGGGGAGUAUUGCACAAUGGGGGAAACCCUGAUGCAGCGACGCCGCGUGAGCGAAGAAGUAUUUCGGUAUGUAAAGCUCUAUCAGCAGGGAAGAAAAAUGACGGUACCUGAGUAAGAAGCACCGGCUAAAUACGUGCCAGCAGCCGCGGUAAUACGUAUGGUGCAAGCGUUAUCCGGAUUUACUGGGUGUAAAGGGAGCGUAGACGGCAUAGCAAGUCUGAAGUGAAAGCCCAAGGCUCAACCAUGGGACUGCUUUGGAGACUGUUAAGCUAGAGUGCUGGAGAGGG